AAAGAGCCACAUGCAAGCCACCGCUCUCCACUCCACGCUCUCCGCUCUGUCCGAGCUCCGCCUCUUCUCUGGGUUUUAGGUUGCUGGAUCUUCUCCGUGUGCUGGGGCAUACACAAGUUCACUGACUUGUUGACAAUGAAUUGACAAAAGCCUGAAGCACCAGCACCAGCCACAGCCCCCAGAUAGCGGUUGAAAAGAGCUUCAGCUUCAGCUUCAGCGAGGAAGAGACACUGGGAAGAAGACAGUGGGGCCUCGACAAUGGAGAUGAUACCACACAAAAUGCCAGACAUAAGUACAUUACACACAUGCGAACACCAGAACACCAGAACACUUCAGGAGAGUGCCAAAAGAAAUGCCAACGAGGGUCGAUCGAUGAACAAACCAUAAAGAAAUCUGUAACUCCCUCUCUCUAAACUGAUAGCUCUAUCCUAGGAACAGUUUGGGCCCGAAAGGUUUGGCCUCUGGUUCUAAAAGACCAAGACCAAGACUCAGUAGAUCUGUAAUGACAACCAGCUCUCGGUCUUCGUUACUUUGCCCUCUGCUUCGGAUCAGCAAGGAGCCAGAGGAUCUGCUGUAGUCGACGUUCGGCUAGAUGACGUGGGACUCUAAUGGAAAUGAAUCAAUGACCUGUACCCAUGGAACCCCGGAAGUAGACAUCUUCCCAGGGCAGGAAGGAAGGGAGCCAAAGCGGAGAACUGAGGAGGUGAUUAUAUAGAGCUUCCAGACUUGAUCAAACUAGUUGGAAGAUCAGAUCGCCAGAGAUAGAAAUCAGUUGACCGAAUGAUUUACCAGACAUUAUCCAUCCCAUUCAUGCACCCAUGCACCGUGCACCGUGCACCAUGCCCCAUGCUUCGAGUAUGCAAAUAAUAAUGGAAAUGGCAGCAACAACAGCAAUCUCUGUAGACGGCAGUGUUUUCAAAGUGGCAUAAAAUUCCAAGCGACUGCAACGAAGCGCAAAGUUGGCUUGCGAGGGGAAAUGGAGGGGGGGAUGGAUGGGGAGUUGAGAUGGGACCACAGAAAAUCUCAAAAUGUUGGAAAACUCGUUUCGUCUCAGGCUAAAAGAAAAUUGUAGAUAAAAAUAAAUAACGAAAACGAAAACUAAACAAGAAAUGAUUUGAUCAAAGGAGCCACAACGAAUGGGAUAUACCCUACAAAAAAGGGUGAGCAAGUGCCUGCCAAAAUGUUCAGAAGAAUACCAGAAAAUACUAUUAAUACAGGGUAUACCCUCUGCCCAAAGACAGUGUGUUUUUCAGAGGAUUUUUCUGCGGAUGAGAAGGCAAAGAAUUUUCCUAGCCAACAUCUUGAUUGUGUGCCCCACCGCUCCGCCCAGUGCUGGCUCCCCCCAGAUGAAGGAGCCGCUGGUAUACUUGAUUUCUAUGUUGUUUAUGAAUUUGUUGGGCCAUCAGGCAGUAGCCACAG
rnacentral:sRNA from 1 species